rnacentral:rRNA from 1 species
GAAAGUAAGCAAGGGCAGACGGUGGAUGCCUUGGCUCUCGGAGGCGACGAAGGACGUGAUAAGCUGCGAAAAGCCCGGGGGAGGCGCAAAUAGCCCUUGAUCCCGGGAUAUCCGAAUGGGGCAACCCGGCAGGCUGAAGGCCUGUCAUCCCGUAAGGGAGGCGAACGUGGGGAACUGAAACAUCUAAGUACCCAUAGGAGGAGAAAAUAAACAAUGAUUCCGUAAGUAGUGGCGAGCGAACACGGAAGAGCCCAAACCCAUGUCGUCUAGGCGACACGGGGGUUGUAGGACCACGACGUGGCAAGAGGAUGGCAAGUGGAACGCCUUGGAAAGGGCGACCGUAGAGGGUGAUAGUCCCGUACACGACUGCCUGCCGAAGCCUAGUGGCAUCCUGAGUAGCGCGGGGCACGAGAAAUCUUGCGUGAAACAGCGGGGCCCAUCCCGUAAGGCUAAAUACUCCCGAGAGACCGAUAGCGAACCAGUACCGUGAGGGAAAGGUGAAAAGAACCCCGAGCAGGGGAGUGAAAUAGACCCUGAACCCGUCUGCCUACAAGCGGUCGGAGCAUAGCAAUAUGUGACGGCGUGCCUUUUGCAUAAUGAACCUACGAGUUACCUUCCCCGGCAAGGUUAAGUACCUAAGGUACGGAGCCGAAGCGAAAGCGAGUCUGAAGAGGGCGGCCAGUCGGGGGGGGUAGACGCGAAACCGAGUGAUCUACCCUUGGCCAGGUUGAAGGUUGGGUAACACCAACUGGAGGACCGGAUGGGUAAGCGUUGAAAAGCUUUCCAAUGAGCUGAGGGUAGGGGUGAAAGGCUAAUCAAACUCGGAGAUAGCUCGUACUCCCCGAAAUGCAUUUAGGUGCAGCCUCUUUAUAGUAUAUCGUGAGGUAGAGCGACUGAUUGGAUGCGAGGGCUUCACCGCCUAUCAAGUCCAGAUAAACUCCGAAUGCGCGAUAUAUAUUUACAGGGAGUGAGGGCGCGGGUGCUAAGGUCCGUGUCCGAGAGGAGAAGAAUCCAGACCACCGGCUAAGGCCCCCAAAUGAUCGUUGAGUUGAACUAACGAGGUCGGAUCGCAGAGACAGCUAGGAUGUUGGCUUGGAAGCAGCCAUUCAUUUAAAGAGUGCGUAACAGCUCACUAGUCGAGCGAUCUGGCGUGGAUAAUAAUCGGGCAUAAACGAUCUGCCGAAGCCGUGGAUGUCGUAAGACAUGGUAGGGGAGCAUUCCAUGCGGCGUCGAAGAUGAGGGAUGACCCUUGUUGGAGCGCAUGGAAAAGCAAAUGUAGGUAUGAGUAACGAUAAGGGGGGCGAGAAACCCCCCCGCCGAAAGACCAAGGUUUCCUGAUCAACGCUAAUCGGAUCAGGGUGAGUCGGGACCUAAGGCAAAGCCGAACGGCGCCGCCGAUGGAAGAAUGGGUUAAUAUUCCCAUACUGCCUCAUGGAGUGACGUGGAGACGGAGAAGUGACAGUCCUGCCGGCUGACGGAAUAGCCGGUUGAAGGGUGUAGAUAUUGAUUCCCGUAGGCAAAUCCGCGGGGAGAGUCGAACCUGACAGUAUACCGAGUACUUGUACGAGGUAAUAUGGACGUAACCAUGCUCCCAAGAAAAUCCGCUAAACUUAUCCAUGCGGCACCCGUACCGUAAACGGACACACGUGGUCGGGUUGAGAAUACUGAGGCGCUCGAGUGACUCACGGUUAAGGAACUAGGCAAAUUGACCCUGUAACUUCGGGAUAAAGGGUCCUCGUCGUAAGGCGAGGCGCAGAGAAUAGGUCCAGGCAACUGUUUAACAAAAACACAUGGCUAUGCUAAAUGGAAACAUGACGUAUAUAGCCUGACACCUGCCCGGUGCUGGAAGGUUAAGAGGAGAUGUCAUCGCAAGAGAAGCGUUGAAUUGAAGCCCCAGUAAACGGCGGCCGUAACUAUAACGGUCCUAAGGUAGCGAAAUUCCUUGUCGGGUAAGUUCCGACCUGCACGAAUGGUGUAAUGAUCUGGACGCUGUCUCAACCGUGAGCUCAGUGAAAUUGUAGUAUCGGUGAAGAUGCCGAUUACCCGCGAUGGGACGAAAAGACCCCGUGAACCUUUACUAUAGCUUUACAUUGAAUUUGGGCAGACGAUGUGUAGGAUAGGCCGGAGGCUUUGAAGGGGGUACGCCAGUAUCCUUGGAGCCGCCGUUGAAAUACGGCCCUUCGGUUGUUUGAGUUCUAACUCCCGGAUGGGAGGACACUGUAUGGUGGGUAGUUUGACUGGGGUGGUCGCCUCCAAAAGCGUAACGGAGGCUUCUAAAGGUGCCCUCAGACCGAUUGGUAACCGGUCGUAGAGUGUAAUGGCAUAAGGGCGCUUGACUGGGAGAGAUACAACUCGAUCAGGUAGGAAACUAGAGCAUAGUGAUCCGGUGGUUCCGCAUGGAAGGGCCAUCGCUCAAAGGAUAAAAGGUACUCCGGGGAUAACAGGCUGAUCAUUCCCAAGAGCUCAUAUCGACGGAAUGGUUUGGCACCUCGAUGUCGGCUCGUCACAUCCUGGGGCUGGAGAAGGUCCCAAGGGUUGGGCUGUUCGCCCAUUAAAGUGGCACGCGAGCUGGGUUCAGAACGUCGUGAGACAGUUCGGUCUCUAUCUAUCGUGGGCGCAGGAGAUUUGAGGGGCUCUGACACUAGUACGAGAGGACCGUGUUGGACGUACCACUGGUUUACCGGUUGUCCCGCCAGGGGCACCGCCGGGUAUCUAAGUACGGAUCGGAUAAGUGCUGAAAGCAUCUAAGUACGAAGCCGGCCUCAAGAUUAGAUCUCCCUGAAGGGUGGUUAUAGACGAUGACCUUGAUAGGCCACAGGUGUAAGGGCGGCGACGUCCGAGCCGAGUGGUACUAAUAGCCCGGGACUUUCCUCA